rnacentral:tRNA from 1 species
GGGAGUGUAACUCAGUGGUAGAGCACAUGUGUAGCAUGCACAAAGUCCUGGGUUCAAUCCCCAGUACUCUUU